rnacentral:rRNA from 1 species
AGACAAUAGAUACCCGGGUAGUCCUGGCCCUCAACGUUGCUCGCUCGUUUUACGGGGUAUCGACCCUCUGUGAGACUAAAGCUAAACGCGGUAAGCGAGCCGCCUGGGUAGUACGAUCGCAAGAUUAAAACUCAAAGGAAUAGACGGGGACUCGCACAAGCAGUGGAUUAUGCGGCUUAAUUCGUCGGUAAACGAAGAACCUUACCAAGGUUAGAAACCCAACUGCAUCCGACCUGAAAGGGACGGAGCCUUCGAGGGUGUUGGGCAGGUGAUGCAUGGUCGUCGUCAGUUCGUGGUUCGAAACUGUUCCCUUCAGUGGGGUAACGAACGCAACCCCCG